GGCGAGCACCUUGGCGCGCGGAGCUGGCACCUUGGCGCUGUUGGUGGCGGCGGAGACAGCUGUGAAGUGUGAGGUUCUUUGUCUGCUGGCAGCUAGGGGCGACGAGGCGGGACGUCAUGGAAGUGAAGGAUGCCAAUUCUGCGCUUCUCAGUAACUACGAGAUGGAGUCUCGCUCUGUCACCCAGGCUGGAGUACAGUGGCACCAUCCAGGCUCACUGCAACCUCUGCCUCCCGGAUUCAAGUGAUUCUCCUGCCUCAGCCUCCCGAGUAGCUGGGACUACAGGUAUUUCAGUUACUAACUGAUCUGAAAGAGCAGCGUAAAGAAAGUGGAAAGAAUAAACACAGCUCUGGGCAACAGAACUUGAACACUAUCACCUAUGAAACGUUAAAAUACAUAUCAAAAACACCAUGCAGGCACCAGAGUCCUGAAAUUGUCAGAGAAUUUCUCACAGCAUUGAAAAGCCACAAGUUGACCAAAGCUGAGAAGCUCCAGCUGCUGAACCACCGGCCUGUGACUGCUGUGGAGAUCCAGCUGAUGGUGGAAGAGAGUGAAGAGCGGCUCACGGAGGAGCAGAUUGAAGCUCUUCUCCACACCGUCACCAGCAUUCUGCCUGCAGAGCCAGAGGCUGAGCAGAAGAAGAAUACAAACAGCAAUGUGGCAAUGGACGAAGAGGACCCAGCAUAGAAGAGCACAGCUGGCCCCGGCGUUUCAUGAAGUCAGAAGGCCUGGCAGCCAUUUCCUGGACGUUGAGAGGAUUGUUUAUUUGAUUUUUAUCCUCAUCCCAGCAGGCCUGGCUUUGUGGUUAGUUGGGUACAUCACAAAAAUAAGUUAAAAAGAAAUAUUUGUGCCUUGGGGAGAAGAAACAUGGUGAAAACAGGCUGAGGUUGUCAGGGCAGAGAGCUGAAGGUGGGGACAGUGACCGCGGACCCCUCUGUGCUUGAAAGAUUUCCUCCACGGCCUUUGCCCCAGUUGUGGGGAGGUCUCUGUGCACAGCGGGGAAAAUGCUUGUGUCGCCUUUGGUGGGCCAUGUCCUAAUUAGUUUCAUCUGCUUCCCUGGGAACUUACUAAGGGGCCCAGAGCACUGUUGGAAGUCUGGUUAGAGUCCCCAGAGAGUUACUCUAAGUUAAAAUGAGCCACUGACCUUGGCUCACCUUAGAGGAAUUUCCUCGAGAACAACAGAGAUAAGAAAAGAACCGGCCUGGCCAAUCCUUCAACAGCUCUAGAGCCCCUUUUCUCUGCUGGCAGGGGCUUUGUUUACCAGCUCACUGUUUAGGCUAAAUGUUAGGGACCAGAUCACUGCAGUUGAAAACGGGCACUCCAGGCUUAGUGACAGUGGCAGCAGAAACAGUGUUGGCUGCCUUUCUGACCACCCCACUUUCCUGCCCUGAGACAGCAGCCCAGGGCAGGUGCUUCAUAUUCAGACCAGGUAAGCCUCAUUUGCACAACAGUCAAAUUGUUUGUUCCUUUAAAAAGGACACAAUUAGCCUGGCACGGUGACUCAUGCUUGUAAUCCCAGCACUUUGGGAGGGCAAGGCAGGCGGAUCACCUGAGGUCAGGAGUUUGAGACCAGCCUCACCAACAUGGAAAAACCCCAUCUCUACUAAAAAAAUACAAAAUUAACCAGGGGUGAUGGCACAUUCCUGUAAUCCCAGCUACUCGGGAGGCCGAGGCAGGAGAAUCGCUUGAACCCGGGAGGCAGAGGUUGAGGUGAGCCAAGAUUGCACCAUUGCACUCCAGCCUGGGCAACAAGAGCAAAACUUCAUCUAAAAAACAGAAAAUAUUAAGAUGAUUACCAUGUGAAAACCUUUUUAAUAUUCAGGAUUUGGAAAGUAUAGUUGCCCCAGGCAUGUGGUUGUUGCCUUAGGUCCUGCGAAUAUUGCUGAAAAUCGGAUUUUCCACAUUCACUUUCUUCCCUGUUUUAGGGAAGAAAAUGAUCAUAGACAUUCGAUUUUCCAAAUUGGCGCUCUUAUUUUCAAUGCUAAUUGGAUUACUUCUCUUCCAACCCUCCUGCCCGUCCAUCCAUCCCAGUCCCCAGGCAUCUUAACCUUACCAUCUGAGCUUCAGCUGAAAUCUGUUUAUAGGCAACAUUGAAAGUACCAGAUUGGGGCCAGGUGUAGCGGCCCACACCUGUAAUCCCAGCACUUUGGGAGGCGGAGGCUAGCGGAUCAUGAGGUCAGGAGUUCAAGACCAGCCUGGCCAACAUGGUGAAACCCCCAUCUCUACUAAAGAUAUAAAAAACUAGCCGAGCGUGGUGUUGCAUGCCUGUGAUCCCAGCUACUCGGGAGGCUGAGGCGGGGGAAUCGCUUGAACCGGGGAGGCAGAGGUUGCAGUGAGCCAGAUCGUGCAUUGCACUCCAGCCUGGCCGACAGGGUGAGACUCCAUCUCAAAAAAGAGAAAGUACCAGAUUGUACUUUUAAAUCUGUCUAGCGUAUUGAGAAUUUUAGUGGGAGCUGUUGAUUUAUUUCUCAGGGCAUACAUGUGCCAAUCUGUCUCAUUGUUGUCUCUCUCUUUUUUUUUUUUUUUUUUGAGACAGUCUCGCUGUGUUGCCCAGGAGUGCAGUGGCACGAUCUCUGCUCACUGCAACCUCUGCCUCCCAGAUUCAAGCGAUUCUGGUGCCUUAGCCUCCUGAGUAGCUGGGACUUACAGGCACGUACCACUAUACCCUGCUAAAAUUUGUAUUUUUAGUAGAGACAGGGUUUUGCCAUAUUGGCCAGGCUAGUCGUAAUGUCUCUUUUUAACACUGAAUAUGUUAGGUGGUUUUUCUUGAUGGAUUUAGGGUUAACCUAGUUAAUAAUAAAUUGUUUCCAGGUAAUUAUCAAGUUUUGUCAUUUUAUAAAUCUGAAGAGUUAAUAUUGUCAUCGAUACAAAUAAAGUGAAAUCUGACUGAGGCUAAAA